rfam:Cyphomyrmex costatus contig16489, whole genome shotgun sequence.
AUCGCUUCUCGGCUCUCUGAGCUAAGAUCAAAGUGUAGUAUCUGUUCUUAUCAGCUUAAUAUCUGAUACAGUCCCCAUAGGGGGCUCAGUAUAUUAAUCUAUUUUUUGGGACCAGGCGGGUGCUCGGAGCUUGCUCCGACCUCACCACGGGUCGACUCCGCACUGCAUUACAGCGGAGUGCGGCCCAGUGAAU